GAAUGUUGCCUGGGAAAGAAAAACAUAGUAGGAAACAUUGAUGUGAAUCAAGCAUCAGAAAGAUGAUGUGAGGACAGCAAGGAAGAGCUGGAACCUGAGGGUUUAAUCACAGGCUCCUCACCCUCUGCUGAUGGGCAGGUAUGGGAGUUCCAGCACGGAGCACCACAGCACUAGGUGGGAGGAGGGUGAGAGAGUGACGGGGCAGCCUGGGAGCCGGGGCAGUGUAGGCACAAGAGGAAAUGUUUCAUCACAGAUGCUUCUGCCCUCAGCCCGCCCUCUGGCUCUGUAGGACAAGUAGAGAAUACAGGGUCUGUGGAGCACUGGACCUAAGGAAGCCUCCUGCAGGGGGAGGACACAGGACAGUGACAUCACAGGAUACCCCUCCCAUCAGGAAAAUCAAGGCCCUGAACUCAGGUUCUUUCCCAGGAGGACCAAGCCCUGAAUCAGGGGCAGUGUUGCCUUCCCUACUGUGCCAUGAAUCACGAGCUCUUAGGCUGGGUGCUGCUUUGUCUCCUGGGAGCAGGCCCAGUUGAAGCUGGAGUCACCCAAAGUCCCACACACCUGAUCAAAACGAGAGGACAGCAAGUGACUCUGAGAUGCUCUCCUAUCUCUGGGCACAGCAGUGUGUCUUGGUACCAACAGGUCCUCGGUCAGGGGCCCGAGUUAAUUCUUGAAUAUUAUGAAAAGGAACAGAGAAACAGAGGAAACUUCCCUAAUCGAUUCUCAGGUUCCCAGUUCCAUAACUAUAGCUCUGGGCUGAAUGUGAGCGCCUUGGAGCUGGGGGACUCGGCCCUGUAUCUCUGUGCCAGCAGCUUGGCACAGCCCAGCAGAGUCACCAACAUUCUGUAUAUAAACUUCCUGCCUCAGCUUUGACUUGAGAGCUGCUGGCCCCACCCAGGUUUCACUCCUUCAAGGGAAGCUUUGAGUUGUUAGGAAGGCAUGUCUUGUGUCCUGCUGAGCACAGAACUCUCCCAAACAACAGAGCCCAGGCUUCCUGUGCCCUGAGUGCUCCUGCUUCUCUGUUGCAUCUUCUUGCAUCUUGUCACU